rnacentral:rRNA from 1 species
CCCUUAGAUGUUCUGGGCCGCACGCGCGCUACACUGACGAAUGCAACGAGCUUAUAACCUUGGCCGAAAGGUCUGGGUAAUCUCCAAAUUUCGUCGUGAUGGGGAUAGAUUAUUGCAAUUAUUAAUCUUCAACGAGGAAUGCCUAGUAAGCGCAAGUCAUCAGCUUGCGUUGAUUACGUCCCUGCCCUUUGUACACACCGCCCGUCGCUCCUACCGAUUGAAUGGUCCGGUGAAGCGUUCGGACCGUGGCCUUUGGACGGUUCGCCGUCUGUUGGCUGCGGGAAGUUCGUUAAACCUUAUCAUUUAGAGGAAGGAGAAGUCGUANCA